UCCCUGGUGGCUCAGACAGUAAAGCAUCUGCCUGCAAUGCGGGAGACUCAGGUUCAAUUCCUGGGUUGAGAA
rnacentral:tRNA from 1 species